UUUACGAACGCUGCUAAGCUACUGCUGUUUGGUGUGACAGAUUGUUCAGCUGCUUCUGCUCUCUCAAAGGGCCCCAGACAACAAUAGUAAGGCUGUGAAAGCACAGGGUUGGGAUGAACAGCUAGAGCAGUGUGUGAGGAACUACAGACAUCUGCUGAGCUCUGAACUGUCUUUUUACUCCUGGUUUAGUGAGCAUUAAAUGUGUUGCGUGCCUCUAUUGUCAAACUGGCUGCAUCUUGAGGGGAAAAAAAGAACAGAAGAAAAAGCAGACGAGAUGUCUGUGGCCCACUUAGAGCUCAUCAUGAAACACUUCAUAAAACAGGACAGCAACUGGUCUGUCUUCUUCGUCCUGUGACCACAAUGCUGUAAUCAUGUAAGCUAGACUGUGCUUAAGUAGGGAGAGGCCACUGUAUCUGCUGAAGGCAGUCAGUGAGUACAGAACGGCACGAUGCUACGUGGGGACUGCCAACCUGAAAUGCUGUGUGGCAUUUUUCCUAAAGGAAGACAUACAAGCCAGAGGUCUGCAAAGCACACAGACUCAUAGUGGAGCAGAGCUUCCAGAUGUGCCGUCCCUACAGGUACUGGUGAAUUGGGCCAGAUGUCCAUCUGAACCUUUAGGUAAGCACGCAGACAUUUCCACAAGUCUGGUCUUGUGCUGCUUCGCUAAGUGCUUUUGAAAGUCGCACCCAAUGUUAAAAAGAGAUUGAUGUGGGAGAUUAAGAUAAAUGCACAAAACACUUUCAUUUUCUUUAUUUUCAAUCGAUACUGUAUGAAUACAAAGUUUCUAGAAAGCUACAAAAAUUCUACCACUUUAUCAAGAAGGCAUCAAAAUGUGUCACUUUGCAAAGACAUGAAAACACCUGCAGUAACCGACACAAAAAUAGCAUUUUUAGAGUGAUGAAAUAAUUGCACUUAACUGUCAUGGAUAUUAAAGUUAUCACACAUAUGUACCGCGAAAGCUAGAAUACAUUUUUUUUUUUUUUACAAAGCACUUUAUAAAAAAAUUCUCUGCACACAAAACCUAUAAUUUUCAUAUUACUAUCAUACUAAAGAUAAAUUCACUUUAAAGCCAACACUUAAAACAUUUUAAACAAAAAAAGGUACCAGUACCUACACACAGACAAUAACAAAUACAAGAAUACUGUACUGCCAAGAGGUUUGACUGAAACUCCUUUUGAAAGCUUCUGCAAAUAUGUUAAGAAAACAUUGGAGAAUGUUCGGUGUUGUUUUUUUUUUUCAAAGAUCCUUCCCUCCCUGUCUAACCUAGAGGUACUUUAUCAUCAAAAGGCAAGUUCUACAUCAAAAGUUACCAGCAGCAGUACAAUAUUAAAGUAACCACUGACCAUAUAUGAAUAUGCUUAAGUCACAAACCCAUUUUAUACACAUUACACAAAUAAACAUAAAGUGAGAAUUCCAUUAAGUCAUUUACAAAUGUGAACAAAUGCACAUGGCAAAGAAAAAAAAAAAAAGAAAAAGAAAAAAAAAAGAAAAUUCAAACAAAACAAAACCCCAACCUGUUUUACAUAAAAUGUACUGAAGAAUUAAAGGCUAUUCAGGUUUUCAAUGUUAUAAAAUUCUCUUGUCUUUCUUUUUCAGGCACAUAUUGUAUUUUUUGUCUGCAGUCAUGAGCCUGAAUCAAAGAGGCCCAUAAAACAAAACAAAACAAAAACACAUAUUCUGAAAGGAGGUAACAGGGAUCUGUCUCCUUUUUGUCAACUGAGUGCAUUUAAGAUUUAAUUUACACGCUAAACUAAUUACAUGAUCUCAGCAAGAAUGACCUGAAAAGUUAAAAGAUGAAAAAUCUCCAAAGCGCGUUUUCUAUUUUGAAUUAUCCAGCCUUGAUCUUUUUUAGGGGGCUAAGCAUCUGGUCAUGAAAGGUAGGAGGGGGGAAAAGAGAUCAUCCUGAGAAAAAUACAAAACUAGACUCUGCUAUCACAUCUGCUGUUUGACCGGGUAUGUGAAUCAGUACGGGUCAAGUAAAGAACAGAGAAAACAUUUCUCAGUAUGAAUGAUCCAGGAAAACUGUAAGGGGAACUGCUUCCAAAGCGAGUAUGCCCUAGGAGCUGCAGUGGAAAAAUAAAUAGAUAUUAGUAUGUCAAAUGUUGUAUCUGCCUUGAACUGGCCAGUUACUUACAUUCAACAGUAAUGUACACCCUUCAUUACUUAAAAUAGCCUACAGCAUGGAGGUUUUAACGGAAGAAGCUACUGCCAACCUGACUGAGCUGUAGUUGCAGUAGAAAGGGAACGCGAGAAACAGGCAUUAUAUCUGCAAUUCCUUCAAAAUAGUGGUGCAGUACCUAAAUAAAAUCAUUUUGGAAUUCAAGUAAGUAAAACUACAGUUGCUAGUAGCAAUUUUUAACAGCCCCAAAUGGUACCGUUAUGCUUAUUUUAAUCAGACAGAAGUGUACUUUACCACAAGUACGGAUUAGUAAGACUGAAAUGUUUGGUAGUAACUGAAAAUAUAUGCUCUGCUUGCGGGGUGAAAUCAUCUUUGCCCUACCUCAGUUUCAUCGAAUUCAACACGAUUACUUGUCUCACAGAGGUAAGUGAGAUUUAGACCUUGAAGGAUUAACAAAAAUAAUAUUUUGGAGACAGGGAAUUUGAAUUAUCACAAUAUUUACCACACAGUGUCACAAUAUUUCUAUAUAUAAAAAGUUAAUCUUAGAUUUCAUCAAAUACUUUAAAAAUCAAGUUAAAAUCGUAUUCACAACUAUAUAAUCCCUCUGACAGCUUUUGGUUUUGCUGAUAUUUGUUCCUUCUAACAUCUUUUUCUUAAAAUCUUGCCCCUCUCCCCACCAAUUUUAGUUGUAGUGUACACAGUACGGCCCCCGUUCACAGAAGAUAUCAAACAAGACACAUUUUUCAGAGGAGCUGAUUUUUUUCUACCAAGACAUUGAUUGGGAGAAAAACAAAACAAAGCAACCCUGUGUUUUGAGCAGCGCUGGCCAGUUUCUCCAACAGCACCUUCAUCCACAAUGCUCACACUUAACAGUUCAAUGCUUAAAAACACACCACCACGUUAAUCUAGCUACUGUCCUCCAUUUUCAUCUUGUUUUAUGCAUCUGACCUCCAGCAUGCACAGUUUUGUAAACAAAGUCUUCCAUCUAAACAAAAAAUCCUCACAGACACUGAAAUAUUAUUAGAGGAGAACAAUAAAGCCACAUUUGUCCA